CCUCCCUCUCAAAAAAUCCAGAGAAACCCUCCCUCUCUAAAAAAAAACAGGAGAAACCCUACUUUGGGGUUUUGAACUUUCGGCUUCUUCUCCCUGCAGCCGGACAAGGCUGCCCCCUCGCUUUGCCAAAAACGAGGAGAACCCCACAAAACACACAGACCCCCCCCCCCCAAAAAAAAAAAAAAAACCAUCCCCAGAGAAACCAACCCCCAGCCGGCGACCCCCAGCCUUAACAACAAAGAAAGACACGGCUGGUCCCCCCUCUCCACUGAUCUUCUCCCUCACCAACCUUCCCCUCUCUCGGCCGCUCACUUCCCCUCCGUCAAAAACAGAGACCGGCCGCCCCCCCCCUCUCCUUUGAGGCCAGGAACCAGAGAAACCAGAGAGCUCCGGACAGGCCUCCCUCUCCCUCGACCACAACCUCCAUCCUCCCUCUCUGUAAUCCAGCCCCCACAAACCCACAAGACAGCCCCGGCUCCCUUCCUCAUCGCCGUUUUCUCCAACUCUGACCGACCCCUCUCUCAGCCACCGAGAACGCCGCCUAGCAGCCCGCAGGCCCUCGUCCUCACCAAGACCCGAACCGGCCACCGGCAGCUGUACAGACACGACAGAAGCUCCGCCGCCGGCCGCCCCUUGCACAUACCGUCGGCCACCUGAAACAGAAGGUGAAAAAAAAAGAAAAAAACAGAUCUGCAGAAGAAACAGAUCUGAAACAAGGGAAGACCGAAACAGAUCUAAAGAAGAAGAAUAAAAAUCAACUGCUUUGUUGCGUUUUUGGUUGUUCUUGCAGGUCACUGCCGAGGAAAGGAAGAGGAGGAGAAGUUAAGCCAGAUCCACAUGUUCACAGUUUCUGCUUGCGGUGACGCGUGAACCCACACGCCGCCAGUGGCAUGGUGCGUGGAGAAGACGCUCCGCCACUGUUCCCAUCCCCAGAACCCUUUCAGCACUGUUCCCGAG
rnacentral:lncRNA from 1 species